NAUCUAAAGACCCCCACCCCUCAGAGCAAGGACCAGGUGAAGAACAGAGCCACCCUCAAUGUUGUAAUCUUUAGCAGUUUUGUCAUCUGCAAGCUGUUUGCCAGCAUAAAUGAGCCUGCAAUAAAAGAAAUUUCCCAUCACCACACUCAGAAAAAUCUGUACCUUCCAAGUUUCAACCUACAAUUAUGACCCAUGUAAUCAAAGUAAAACAAUGCUGUCUAGAGGCUAUAUCUCGAGAAAGCAUGUCUAUAUGUUAUAAAAUGGCUGACGAUAAUGUUGGAUCUAAUUUCUCAAGGCCGGAGAAGAUUUGCUUCAGUACAGUUGUUCCCCUAACAGCUUAAUAAUUAAAAAUCACAUGGUCUCGUGUUACACUGAUUUCUCCUGCAAAUCAUGGUCCUUCCCAUGGCUCUGGCAACUCUACUACCACGAUAUCACUCUAACCAUUUUGUCUCAACGGUUUCCUUUUUUUGUUCUGCUAUUCGUAAUGAAUAGAUAUGCACGGUGCAUGGACGAAGAUCAAAUUAAUAUUAAUAACUUUAGUUUUCUCCUCAUUAAAAUUAAGAUCAAUUGAAUGAAUCCUUAUGUCAUUAAAUUCAAUCAAAAGCUCUCUCUUUUGAUAGAUCAAAUGAAGUCAAAUCUUUUAUCACCACCUCAUAACAAGUUAAUUUUGGUCUACAUACUCCUAUUAGCUUGUUCUAUUAGAUCAGGUAGGUUUUAACACCUAAAUAUCUUACUUUAGUUUAACAUCAAUUGACACCGCAUUACUUCCUGCCAUAUAUAUAUAUAUAUAUAUAUAUAUAUAUAUAUAUAUAUAUAUUUAGUUUUUUUUUUUUCCCCCUCUAUGUAACUGUACAACUAUCUUUAACAUCCUCAUUCAUGCAGCCCAUAACAUAUUGUUUUUUCAUUAUUUAAAUGUCUCAACACUCACUACAACAAAAGUUAGCUGCUGUUGUUAUAACAGUUCUAUAAAACUUUAUGGUAGGUAGCUUCCAAUCACAAAAUCCAGAAAACCUUUCCCAUGUUGUCUACUCCGCUUAGACAUGUGCAUUAUAACCUGCUCAAGUCCUAAACCUUAAUUAAAAUCAAACUUAAACCAAAGCUCUUUUAGAUAACAUGAUCCAACAUUUUAAUUCCCCCAUUGUACUUGUUCCUUUGAUGACUAAAGAACAUCCCAUAUAUCUUGUAUUACUUUUGCUUAACUCAGAACCCUAGGAUUUCAAAGUAUUUCUUUAAAGUUCUAACUUAUUAUUUAUUCUCCUCCCACUCCUAUCAAGUAGAACUAUAUUAUAAGCCAAUGACAUUUAUCCUAUAUUAUAAGCCAAUGACAUUUAUCAAGGGACCUUAAUCCUUAUCUUGAAUUUCCUAAGUUCAUAAAUGUCAAAAACAACAUAAUUAAGGCUUAGAGUAUGACAUUGAUAUAAGCCUAUUUAAAUGGGAUAUUCCUACUACUAUAUCCACUCAUUCAUACGUUUCUUAACACCAAAGUUCCUAAUGAAAACUUUGUUUCUUCCUAGUUUCCACCAGAGCACUUGCCUAGUAGCUCUAGUUGCAUUUUCUUGCUUUUUCCAUAUUCAUUAUCAAGUUAAAAUUACCCACUAAAAAUUAGGUUUUAAAAGGAACUGGAAUUAGAUCCAUUUAGAUUGCUGAUGUUGAUCAUGAGUGCUGUUACUCAUGCCAAAAGAAAAAAGAAUCAGCAAUGUUGCAGCACUGUCGCCCGCGCUGGGAACCAUUUGAGUAUAAGCAUGAAGCUUAUACAAGUUUAAGCUAUGGGCACAUAUCACAACAUGAGCAUGUUCGGGGUGGUGAACAAGUGAGAAGCAAUGGAAACAAUGGGUGCCCUAACAUAGAGUCAAUUACAAAGCAAGCAGCAGCGCUUAAGGUUAUAUAAAUUACUACAGAAGGGGAAAAAAAUCUAGAGAGGUGUUACAUAAUCUUAAUCCAAAGAAUUUAAAAAGUUGAGUCGAAAAUUGUAUCACAUGAACAAGUGACACUGGGUAGAAGCUCACCAGUUUAAAAUGCAGCUAAAGCUGUUUUAGAAACAAACAAAAUUGG
rnacentral:lncRNA from 1 species